CUAUCUAUCUGUCUGUCUGUCUAUCUAACCACGAAAGUGGUUCACACAGGGCGAGGCUCGGCCAUUGCACUUCGGUUGUGCUGACCCUUGCGAAUACCCCAAAUGCGGGAAUCUCGACUUUCUUUUUGGAGCAGUUGUGGGCUGGAGGUUAGGGAACCAGCCUUGU